AUUGAACGCUGGCGGCAGGCCUAACACAUGCAAGUCGAGCGAGCGGCGGACGGGUGAGUAAUGUAUGGGGACUGCCCGAUAGAGGGGGAUAACUACUGGAAACGGUGGCUAAUACCGCAUACUAUCGUUUAACCCAUAUGGGAUUAGCUAGUAGGUGGGGUAAAGGCUCACCAAGGCGACGAUCUCUAGCUGGUCUGAGAGGAUGAUCGGCCAAACUGGGACUGAGACACGGCCCAGACUCCUACGGAGGCAGCAGUGGGGAAUAUUGCACAAUGGGCGCAAGCCUGAUCCAGCCAUGCCGCGUGAAUGAAGAAGGCCUUAGGGUUGUAAAGCACUUUCAGCGGGGAAGCGUUACCCGAAGAAGAAGCAACGGCUAACUACGUGCCAGCAGCCGCGGUAAUUC
rnacentral:rRNA from 1 species